UAUUGGUCCCCCCGCAACGAUAACUUGUGAACCCCGCCAGGCCCGGAAGGGAGCAACGGUAGCAAGCGACUCGUGUGCCGGGGUGCGGCUGAUAGAG
rnacentral:SRP_RNA from 2 species